rnacentral:rRNA from 1 species
GUAGCGUAAUCACCUGUCUUUUAAAUAAAGACCUGUAUGAAUGGCAAGACGAGGGUUUUACUGUCUCCUCCCCCCAGUCAAUGAAAUUGAUCUACCCGUGCAGAAGCGGGUAUAAAAACAUAAGACGAGAAGACCCUAUGGAGCUUUAGGCAUAUAUCAAAUAUGUAAAAAACCAAAUUUUUCCAAAUAGGCCUAAAAAAUGAGAAAAACAAGUAUUAAUGAUUAAGUGCCUUCGGUUGGGGCGACCACGGGGAAAAAUAAAACCCCCACAUGGAAUGGGAAAAAUAACCCUAAGCCAAGAAAAACACUUCUAAGCAACAAAAUUUUUGACCAAUAAACGACCCAGGGACACCAUCCCUGAGCAAUGAACCAAGUUACCCUAGGGAUAACAGCGCAAUCCUUUCCCAGAGCCCAUAUCAACGAAAGGGUUUACGACCUCGAUGUUGGAUCAGGGCAUCCUAACGG